rfam:Felis catus isolate Cinnamon breed Abyssinian chromosome A1, whole genome shotgun sequence.
AUCACCUAGGAAUCUUGUUAAAAUGGAGAUUCUGACUCAGUAGGUCUGGGCUGGGCCUGAGAUUCUGCAUUUUUAACAAGCUCCCAUAUGUUGCUGC